UGCACCUAAGAUCAAGACAUUUAUUCAGAAAGAUUCACUCUACCAAAGUAUUAUUGCAUUAGAGGCAUGGGCUAUGCAAAAAUAAGGAUAUUUUGAGGAAAUAAAAAGGAGCAAGUGCUCGAUAACCUCGCAGAAAAAAUUGACAAGUGUCCGGCAGUAGAUUUAGGGGUACCUCGGUAUCCACUUAAAAAAAGAAGAGAGAAAAAAGAAAGAAAAUGAUAGCCC
rnacentral:lncRNA from 1 species